rnacentral:tRNA from 1 species
CCUAAUAUGGCAGAAUAGUGCAAUGGAUUUAAGCUCCAAAUAUGACGGCUUGACCAUCUAUUAGGA